AGCGUGUUCGCUGCCGAAGUUGCCAUCUAGAGACGACCACAAGACGAACAUAGCAUGUUUGCGAUGCAAACGGGCCCGUGUUCCUACAGCAUCAAACUGUCUUGUGUCCGAAGUGUGUGCCUCGUACGUAGGUAGCAAAUUUGGCCGUCGCACUUGUCGUGGGUGGGGUCCCAUUUACUGUACAUAUCCAUUAGAUUUUGACCUCUAUGGGUCCGACACCUUUUCUGGCUGUGGAGACUUGUAAAUUGUAGUUUUAGGAAGGAUUCCCUCAAUUUAUUUUCUUAUAUAGGUUAUUUUGUAUUUUUUAUAAAUAUUUUUGUAAAUUAUUUUUUGUUAUAUACUUAUUUUUUUUAAAUAUUUGUAAUAAAUAUCAAAUUUGUA